GGGGAAGUGAGGGGAGGAGAACGGAAACCGGAAGGGAAAACGGCUUCAAAAGAGGCAACGGGCUCUUCCAACGUAAUAGAAAGGCCGACUGUGACUCCCACUAUGUAGGACGAUCUUGAGCUUCUGUGAUCGGUCUUGGGGCGGCGCAUGCUGGGAAUUGUAGUCUCCUGAGUAACAUCUCCUCUCUGCCGCGGAUGUUCCUUCACUGAGAGAGCUCCAGAAGGUUCUGGAAACUGCGGGAAUGGUGAAGAUCUGGAAGUAGGUAAAGACCAAGACCCUGAAAAGCUGCUGCCAAUCUGAGUCAAUAAAUCUGACCUUGAGAGACCAACUGGUUUAAUCCAGUAUAAAACAUGAGGGUAUCAAGGGCAGGAAAGAAGACAAGGAGCUGAGUGACCUGGAAGAGACGGUUCAGUGGCAAAUUUGGAUUUGUCAUUACAUAAUGUAUGAAUUGGUUUAAAUACAGCCAGUUGCUCACUGAUGACUAUAUAUGAAUGUUAA